GACGAACGCUGGCGGCGUGCUUAACACAUGCAAGUCGAGCGGAGCGGCGAACGGGUGAGUAACGCGUGAGUAACUGCCCCCUUCUCUGGGAGAACAGUUGGAAACGGCUGCUAAUACCGGAUAGUGGGGGAUGACUCGCGUCCUAUCAGCUUGUUGGUGGGGUAGUGGCCUACCAGGGCGACGAGGGGUAGCCGGCCUGGGAGGGGGACCGGCAACAUUGGGCUGUGAUACGGCCCAAGCUCCUACCGGAGGCAACAGUGGGGAAUCUGGCACAAUGGGGGAAACCCUGAUGCAGAAACGCCGCGUGCGGGAUGACGGCCUUCGGGUUGUAAACCGCUUUCAGCCAUGACGCGGUAGUGGCAGAAGAAGCACCGGCUAACUACGUGCCAGCAGCCGCGGUAAUUC
rnacentral:rRNA from 1 species